ACUGGAAGCAGUGGCAUGUGCCUGUAGAGGCUGGAGGAUCACUUGAGCCCAGGAGUUCUGGGCUGCCUUGGGCUAAGUGGUUCGGGUGUCCACACUAAGUAGGGCAUCCAUAUGGUGGCCUCCCAGGAGCGGGGGACCACUGGGUUACCUAAGGAGGGGGGAACGGGCCCAGGUUGGAAACCGAGCAGGUCAAAAUUCCCAUGCUGAUCAGUAGUGGGACUAUGGCUGUGAAAAAUCACUGUGCUCCAACCUGGGCAACAUAGUGACAU
rnacentral:SRP_RNA from 1 species